AUGGCACUGCAUAGCAUUGGUGCUUCGAACAAGGAUGAUGCCUUGUACAGGUGCAAGAUGCCUAGAAUCCUAACCGAAGUAAAAGGAUGUGGUAGGCAUCAACAUGAGGGAGCGAAGAGCAAACUGGAGGCCACCUACUCGCGCAAUAGCUACAACACUCCCCCGUCGUUCUAUCCAAAGGCUCUCAACUUGGCGUACAUACUCAUCAAGAACUCAAACAUUGCAAAUGAAGAAAAAAUCCAGUGUGCUACAAUCCAGAGGCGCGGGAGAGGACUGAAGGGAGGAGAAGAUGCGGAAGACGAGCUUCGGGUCCUCAAGCUCAUCUACCGUGGUUGGUUUGGAAGUAGAGAUCGAUGGGAUUGGGAUUGUGGAGUUUGUCUUAGAGUACCAUCACCCAGACGAAUCAUUCUGCGGCUUGGAAUCGAGGUCGAAGCAUCGAUGCCCUGGUCAUGGGCUAGUUCCUGCUUGCCGGGUGGCUUGGGGAGGGGCAAGCACUGGCCGUUACCAGAUGAGUGCAAGUGGGUGGUUUUGGUUGACCCUCCUCCUCCACUAUGUGUGGCACUUGCAUUUGAAGAUCUACAUGCAGAGGUUGAACACAGCUGGAUCAAGUCUCACAAAUUGCAGAGGGAAAAUAUGGAACUGACAAAGAAGAAUCGUGCUUUGAAGAAGAAACUGAAGGAGAGAGAUGAGAUGCUCAAUGUUUGGGUAGCGUUGUUUGCUGGAAUUAUUGUAUGUGUUGUACUUGUUGCAUUUUCAAGGCAGUGA
rnacentral:rRNA from 1 species